AAUAAAGGGGGAGUGGUUAAUAAUAGGGUAAUAAAGGGGGUGGAGUUAAUAAAAGUGUAAUAAAGGGGGUGGAGGUAAUAAAGGGGGUGUGGUUAAUAAAGGGGUUAAUAAAGGGGGUUGGGUUAAUAAUAGGGUAAUAAAAGAGGUGGGGAUAAAAAAGGAGGUGGCUUAAAGGGUAAUAAAGAGUCAUAGU